rnacentral:rRNA from 1 species
GAUAGAUAUUAAUUUAAAAUAUCUAAUCUAAGAAUAUAAGGGUAGAGCUUUAUCAUUCAAUAAUAAAUGAAAUAUAAGUUAAUAAGUAUUUAUUUUGAUAAUUAGGUUUUUUAGUGGCCAUAUUUUUAAAGUGUUUUAACUAAUAUAAUUGAAUAAUUUAUUUAUUAGAUUUUAUUAAAUUAAUAAUAUGUUUUUUAAAAUGGAUAAAUAUUAGAAAUAAUGAAAAUAUUAGUAGAAUUAAUAUAUGAGAAAAAAGAAAAGUAUUAAAAGUAAAAUAUGAAAAUAGUUAAGAAAAAAAUAGAGGAACUCGGCAAAUAAGGUUCUUGCCUGUUUAACAAAAACAUGUCUCUAUGAAGUUAUAUGAAGUCUGACCUGCCCAUUGAAAUUUAUUAAAAGGCCGCGGUAUAUUAACUGUGCAAAGGUAGCAUAAUUAGUAGUUUUUUAAUUGAAGGCUUGUAUGAAAGGUUGGACAAGGGAUAAGCUGUCUUUAUUUUUAUUUUUGAAUUUGUCUUUUAAGUGAAAAGACUUAAAUAAGUUUAAGGGACGAUAAGACCCUAUAAAUCUUUAUAUUAGUUUAAUUUUAUUUUAAAUUUUAAUGUUUAAAAGAGUAAAGUUAAUAUAGUAUUGUAUUGGGGUGAUAGGAAUAAUUAGUAAACUGUUCGAAGGUAUAAACAAAAAUAUUUGAUUAUAAUUAUUAGUAGAUCCUUAGUGGAGAUUACAAGUUUAAGUUACUUUAGGGAUAACAGCGUUAUUUUUUUUGAGAGUUCUAAUCGAAAAAGAAGUUUGCGACCUCGAUGUUGAAUUAAAAUUUCUUUGUGGUGUAGUAGUUACAAGAGAGAGUCUGUUCGACUUUUAAAAUUUU